AAAUUGAAGAGUUUGAUCAUGGUUCAGAUUGAACGCUGGCGGCAGGCCUAACACAUGCAAGUCGAACGGUAACAGGAAGAAGCUUGCUUCUUUGCUGACGAGUGGCGGACGGGUGAGUAAUGUCUGGGAAACUGCCUGAUGGAGGGGGAUAACUACUGGAAACGGUAGCUAAUACCGCAUAACGUCGCAAGACCAAAGAGGGGGA
rnacentral:rRNA from 1 species